rnacentral:rRNA from 1 species
CGAGGAUCAUUCGCAAUGGGGGAAACCCUGACGAUGCGACGCUGCGUGGAGGAUGAAGGCCCUCGGGUCGUAAACUCCUGUCAUAUGGGGCAAGGGCGCGGGCGCUAACAGCGUCUCGCGCUUGAUGGUACCAUAAGAGGAAGCCACGGCUAACUCUGUGCCAGCAGCCGCGGUAAUACAGAGGUGGCGAGCGUUGUUCGGAUUUACUGGGCGUAAAGCGUGCGUAGGCGGUCGCGUAUGUCGGAUGUGAAAUCCCGGGGCUCACCCCCGGAAGUGCAUCCGAAACUGCGCGGCUAGAGGCCGGGAUGGGUGACUGGAACACAUGGUGUAGCGGUGAAAUGCGUUGAUAUCAUGUGGAACACCGGAGGCGAAGGCGAGUCACUGGAACGGAUCUGACGCUGAGGCACGAAAGCGUGGGGAGCAAACA